UACGGAGGGUGCGAGCGUUAAUCGGAAUUACUGGGCGUAAAGGGCGCGUAGGCGGUUAUAUAAGUUAGGUGUGAAAUCCCUGGGCUUAACCUAGGAACUGCAUUUAAUACUGUGUAACUAGAGUGCGGUAGAGGGUAGUGGAAUUUCCGGUGUAGCGGUGAAAUGCGUAGAUAUCGGAAGGAACACCAGUGGCGAAGGCGGCUACCUGGGCCGGAACUGACGCUGAGGCGCGAAAGCGUGGGGAGCAAACGGG
rnacentral:rRNA from 1 species